rnacentral:lncRNA from 1 species
CCAAGUUAAUAAAUGCAAUCCUUCUUUUGCUUAUAUAACUUUUCUUUUCCUUUUUUCCCUUUGAGAUAAUUAACCGAAAAAUCUAAUUUAUUGAAGAAAAAUCCUUUCUUGAAAGAAAUUAGUCAGUUGAAUAUACUUAGCCAAGUCUUUGCAUUAUGCAGGGAACUAAGCGAAUGCAUGUGAAAUAUAUUCUUUCUACAAUAAGGUAUAAUUAAGAUAAUGUUCAGCAUAAUUUCCAAAAUUGCUAUUCUGCCAUAAGUAAAUGUGUUGUAUGUGUUCUAUGCACCUGCAAAGAAUAGAUAAUGAAUAUAAUGAUUAUUAUAAAAAAAUAAAGGAAAAAUUAUAGUGACACCCCUUCAACUUUCCAUGUUUUGCACUUACACCCCAAAGCUUCUUUUUUUUUUUUCCAACUAGACCUCAAAACAUAUUACUUGGUUGCAAUGUACCCCAUCUUUCCAUCUUCAUUAGGAUAUGUGAGCAUGUGAUUGUCAUGUGACAACUUCAGACACUAUAUUCCC